GUAGUGAGAUUCGUAUCAAUCCACAUGUAUUGAGCUGGGUUAGAGUGGAACUUGAACUAAAUUCCACCUCAAUCCACUCCAAUACAUGUGGAUUGAGAUGAAUCCGACA
rfam:Sorghum bicolor cultivar BTx623 chromosome 9, whole genome shotgun sequence.